rnacentral:rRNA from 1 species
CAAUAGCGUAUAUUUAAGUUGUUGCAGUUAAAAAGCUCGUAGUUGGAUUUCGGAUGGGACUUGCCGGUCCGUCGUUUCGAUGUGCACUGGCCAGUCCUAUCUUGUUGUCGGGGACUAGCUCCUGGGCUUCACUGUCCGGGACUAGGAGCUGACGAGGUUACUUUGAGUAAAUUAGAGUGUUCAAAGCAAGCCUACGCUCUGAAUACAUUAGCAUGGAAUAACGCGAUAGGACUCUGGCUUAUCUUGUUGGUCUGUGAGACCAGAGUAAUGAUUAAGAGGGACAGUCGGGGGCAUUCGUAUUUCAUUGUCAGAGGUGAAAUUCUUGGAUUUAUGAAAGACGAACUUCUGCGAAAGCAUUUGUCAAGGAUGUUUUCAUUA